rnacentral:rRNA from 1 species
AGAGUUUGAUCAUGGCUCAGGACGAACGCUGGCGGCGUGCUUAACACAUGCAAGUCGAACGGGGUCCAAGUGUUCGCAAGAACAUGGAAGACCUAGUGGCGAACGGGUGAGUAACACGUGAGGAGCCUACCCCGGACUCAGGAAUAACAGCCGGAAACGACUGCUAAUACCUGAUGCCGUCGGAGCAUCGCAUGGUGCACUGACGAAAGAAUCUCGGUUCGGGCGGGCCUCGCGGCCUAUCAGCUAGUUGGUGGGGUAACGGCCUACCAAGGCAUCGACGGGUAGCUGGUCUGAGAGGAUGAUCAGCCACACUGGGACUGAGACACGGCCCAGACUCCUACGGGAGGCAGCAGUGGGGAAUCUUGCGCAAUGGGCGAAAGCCUGACGCAGCAACGCCGCGUGCGGGAAGAAGGCCUUAGGGUUGUAAACCGCUUUCAGUAGGAACGAAAAUGACGGUACCUGCAGAAGAAGGUGCGGCCAACUACGUGCCAGCAGCCGCGGUGACACGUAGGCACCAAGCGUUGUCCGGAUUUAUUGGGCGUAAAGAGCUCGUAGGCGGUUGAGUAAGUCGGGUGUGAAAACUCUGGGCUUAACCCAGAGCCGCCACUCGAUACUGCUCUGACUUGAGUACGGUAGGGGAGCAGGGAAUUCCUAGUGUAGCGGUGAAAUGCGCAGAUAUUAGGAGGAACACCGGUGGCGAAGGCGCUGCUCUGGGCCGAAACUGACGCUGAGGAGCGAAAGCGUGGGUAGCAAACAGGAUUAGAUACCCUAGUAGUCC